GGAAAGGCGCGCGAUACAGGGUGACAGCCCCGUACACAAAAAUGCACAUGCUGUGAGCUCGAUGAGUAGGGCGGGACACGUGGUAUCCUGUCUGAAUAUGGGGGGACCAUCCUCCAAGGCUAAAUACUCCUGACUGACCGAUAGUGAACCAGUACCGUGAGGGAAAGGCGAAAAGAACCCCGGCGAGGGGAGUGAAAAAGAACCUGAAACCGUGUACGUACAAGCAGUGGGAGCACGCUUAGGCGUGUGACUGCGUACCUUUUGUAUAAUGGGUCAGCGACUUAUAUUCUGUAGCAAGGUUAACCGAAUAGGGGAGCCGAAGGGAAACCGAGUCUUAACUGGGCGUUAAGUUGCAGGGUAUAGACCCGAAACCCGGUGAUCUAGCCAUGGGCAGGUUGAAGGUUGGGUAACACUAACUGGAGGACCGAACCGACUAAUGUUGAAAAAUUAGCGGAUGACUUGUGGCUGGGGGUGAAAGGCCAAUCAAACCGGGAGAUAGCUGGUUCUCCCCGAAAGCUAUUUAGGUAGCGCCUCGUGAAUUCAUCUCCGGGGGUAGAGCACUGUUUCGGCAAGGGGGUCAUCCCGACUUACCAACCCGAUGCAAACUGCGAAUACCGGAGAAUGUUAUCACGGGAGACACACGGCGGGUGCUAACGUCCGUCGUGAAGAGGGAAACAACCCAGACCGCCAGCUAAGGUCCCAAAGUCAUGGUUAAGUGGGAAACGAUGUGGGAAGGCCCAGACAGCCAGGAUGUUGGCUUAGAAGCAGCCAUCAUUUAAAGAAAGCGUAAUAGCUCACUGGUCGAGUCGGCCUGCGCGGAAGAUGUAACGGGGCUAAACCAUGCACCGAAGCUGCGGCAGCGACGCUUAUGCGUUGUUGGGUAGGGGAGCGUUCUGUAAGCCUGUGAAGGUGUGCUGUGAGGCAUGCUGGAGGUAUCAGAAGUGCGAAUGCUGACAUAAGUAACGAUAAAGCGGGUGAAAAGCCCGCUCGCCGGAAGACCAAGGGUUCCUGUCCAA
rnacentral:rRNA from 1 species